ACAGCCCCACGAUCCUGUCACUGACCUGGGGCCUCAGCUCUCAGGGUCCUCACCCAUUUCUCAGGAAGCCAGCCGGGCAGACGGGAUGCUGCCCCUGAAAGCAGUCCUCCUCUCCUCAUUCUGGACUUUUGCAUUGGGGCAGCUGAAGCAACCUGAAGUGGUCAUCUCUAGAGCAACAGAUAAGAGUGCUGACAUACCUUGUAAGGCAUCAUUCUCAGGCUUUGACAGUACGGGAAUAUACUGGUACCGGCAGAAGCCUAAUGAAGGUUUACAGUACCUCCUGAAUGUUAAGACCAGCGCUACUGGAGUUAACUUUGAUGGAAAGAAGAACAAAUUUGAGGCAAGUAAAAAUUCUGGAGCUUCCACUUCAACCUUGAAAAUAAACUCCUUAGAAGCGCAAGAUGAGGCCAUGUACUACUGUGCUUACUGGGCUAGCAGUAGCACAGCAUUGCAGUUACAAGAAUAA